GCUUCCCCGCCCCACUCAACGAGUUGAUGUUUCUCGAGCAUACCUAUCAGCGCCAUCAGUACAUGUGUCGCUAGCCUAGAAAGUCGGUUUCAAAGAAGCAUUGCCUGUUUAUUGUGGAAUAGAAAAACCGUUGCGAACUGAUAAGUGUUAGUUUAUUUGUUUUCAGUUAUGAAGUUGCCAGAUGAGCAGCAUCCUUCCUUGGAGAUUAGAGAUAGGUCGGAUUUGCCAACCCCUUUCAGAAAUCCUUUCGUUCACGAGUUACGAUUCACCCCCUUGGAGAAAAUCAGGAUUGGUGUGAUGACUGUGACAGUGUUCCCAGUACGGUUGUUCUUUGCAGUGUUCCUCAUGUUGCUGGCCUGGCCCUUUGCCUUCGCUGCCUCUCUGGGACGAUCUGAACUGGCCGUGGAGACCGAGACCUGGUGGAGGAGGAUCUGUGACAUAGCCCUGAGGGUGCUCAUGCGAGCCAUGUGGUUCUGUGGAGGUUUCCAUUGGGUGACGGUGAAGGGGGAACCGGCCCCGCCCUCGCAGGCGCCCAUCCUCACCCUGGCCCCUCACUCUUCCUACUUCGACGCCAUCCCCAUUACCAUGACCAUGGCCUCUAUCGUCAUGAAGACCGAGAGCAAGAAUAUCCCCGUCUGGGGUACUUUGAUAAAGUUCAUAAGGCCAGUGUUCGUGUCGCGGUCGGACCAGGAUUCUCGUAGGAAGACAGUUGAGGAGAUCAAACGCAGAGCCCAUGCUGGAGGGGAGUGGCCUCAGAUAAUGAUAUUUCCAGAGGGGACAUGUACCAACAGAUCCUGCCUCAUCACAUUCAAGCCUGGGGCCUUCAUUCCAGCAGUUCCAGUUCAACCAGUAGUCCUGCGUUACCCCAACAAAAUGGUUUCAUGUCCUUCUCUCCACUGCCCCUUCACACCCUCAUUAAUUAUAAACCUGUGACUACCUGCUCUAACUUGAACUAGAAAGCCAUGUGCAGUAGAGACUCCCCGGCUGCAUCUCAAUAGUCUAGUGGCUUCCUUUCCUCGUCUCCUUUCCUGCAUCUCAAUAGUCUAGUGGCUUGCUCUCCUCAUCUCCUCCUUUCCUUUACCUGCAAUAGCACAAAAUAACUGAAAGUAAAAGCAAGUCUCAAGUAGACGAUCCUCCAUGUUGCUUUCAAGCUGUCCAGUGUUUUCAGACCAGUGCAGACAAAGGAGAGGGGAGAGGAAGCUCCUGUAGGCCUCAGUCCUGCUGUGUGUAACCAAUGAACACACUGGGAUUUUGUGUCCGAGUGUUUCGAAUGGAUCCAAUGCUUUUAAAUGGGAGUUAUCGGUUGUUGGAUGAAUGACAACUGAGAUGAUUGUCUGACACACAAAUCACGAAUGGUCCAUCUUCGAAAAUAGGAUACCAUCACAUGGACAUGGCAAGGCCCUGGAGCAUUUGAGAUACUGUGGCUGACACUGUGCCAGUUUCACAACCCCAUAGAGAUUGAGUACCUACCGCUCUACACUCCUUCAGAGGAAGAGAAGAACAACCCUGCUCUGUUCGCCAACAAUGUCAGACGCAUCAUGGCCAAGGCCCUGGAGCUGCCCAUCACAGACCUGUCAUUUGAUGACUGCCAGCUGAGCCAAGCAAAGGGCCCGUUGCGUGUCCCUACCAACAGCAGCCUACUGCAGUUCAAUAGACUCGCUCGAAGGCUCGGGUUGAGAACAGGGACUACAGAUACAGUCUUGCAGCAGGCUAGCAGAGCCAGGAACAUUUGGGGAUACAGACUGGGAUUGGAGGACUUUGCUCAGUACCUCGAUCUACCUGUGACGGACAUGCUCACAGAGUUACACAGCCUUUUUAACCAGCAUGGAGAUGGCCAAAUAGAUGUCAGGGAGUAUGUGAUAGCCCUGUCUGUGGUGUGUCAACCCUCUAAAGCCAUGGACACCCUCAGGCUCGCCUUUGGAAUGUACGAGGCGAAGGAGGACAGGGCGAUCGUGGAAAAAGAGCUGGGGUCCAUUUUGAGAACGGCGUUGGGAGUAGCAGAGGUCGACGUUACAGAGUUGUUCUCAGCAAUCGACACACUUGACGCAGGGAAGAUCACACAUGAUGACUUCUGUCGGUUUGUGGUGCAGCACCCAGACUUUGCUCAGGAGUACCUUCUCUCCUCCAGGGAAACCCCCUCUACCCCUCACACUGUCCCGCUGACCAACGGGUUCAGUGUGGAACAUUACAACACAGAGGAGCCGACCUGCAGCAUCCCUGGACAGAAGAAGAAAGAAGACUGAGAGACACUCAAAUGGAUCCAUCUACUGCCUAUGACAGAAAGGAGGGAGGAGGGAUAGGAGGAGGACUGGACCUCUACCAAACAAAUCUAUAUUCUACAGUUACUAUAUCUUCUCUGUCGUUGUGGCCUGUAUGUUCUACCAGAGAGAAGGAGCGAGGGAUAGUUUAUUUCGGGAUAAGGAGGGGUGGAUAGAGAGGGAAGAAACUAUCAGACGGAUAGAGGAUAUUGAGACUGAAAGGGAGAGAUGGUGGUGGAGAAGGGUUGGGUAUGCUGAAGGAGAGUAGAGGAGGAUGAGGUAGGGAUGGAGAGAUGGAUAGAGAUAGUUGGUUAGUGAGAGGAUAUGAGGGAGGGUGGAGCCGAUCCGUUCCUCCGGACACCAUCUCACACCAAUACUCCAUCUUUGUUUUGUCUGCUAGUGUUUUCAAGGACUUCAUGCUUUCUAACUUUCCAACAUGAGUUACAGAAACUGCAUACCUGAAGUUUUUAGAAACACUUUGGCUAUUUAUUGUAAAAAGGGUUUUACUUUUUUCUUAUGUAUAGGUAUUUAUUUGUCUUUAAUUUUGAUCAAACUAUCUAUGUCUGUUAUUAUGACUACUGUGCACUCUCCAGUAAGAUUUUAAUUUUUAAGAUUAGUUUUAUCAGGUGAUUAAGCACCAAACUGAGCUCAGCUUAAUCACUGCCUUUCAUAACGAGAUUGACUGAGAUUAAAUGGAUCAAGCUGAAACGGGAUAACAUCCAGACUCAAACUAUUCUUCAACUAAGCAUCUCCCUGCCUCGUAGACCAUAGCAACUCACAAGACAUUAAACUGUUAAAAUGGAUGAAUAUGGGACCAAACUUCAACUUCUUUUUAAACCAGGGGCCUCUUGCGCGUUCACAUUGAGCUCCUUAUUGCCUUUUAAACCAUAAAAAACAUGUGUUAUUUUAAUGUUAUUUGAGCUUAAGUGAAGCAUCUAACAGCAUACGUAUCUUUAUUUUCAUAAGCAUAAAGACUGGGGGCUUCAGAUGAACAUGUGUUGUUUUCUCUUUUCUUAUUCGAUGAACAGAGUACCAGAGUUGGGAAUGGCACCCUAUACUCUAUAUAGUGCACAUUUGUCUCUGGUCAAAAGCAGUGCACUAUAUAGGGAAUAGGGUGCAUUUCGGACAUAGCCUCAGUUAAAAUAUUCAGUUAAGAUGUUUCCCUCUUAUUUUUUUUUACCUCUCAUAUCACUCUGGAAGUAAGUUGCCCUUAGGCAAAGAUCUAAGAUCAGCUCACCUUGCUGAAAUUCUAACAUGAACCAUUUAAGCAUCGGCAAUCAUGAAACUGAUCUGGGAUCAGUUCUGACCUUUAUGAUAAGCAAUCAAUCUAUUGCCUUUUUGCACCGGUUUUGUUUUGAAUUCUCUGCAGUUUGGCUUUGAAGCGACACCUUUUGUAUGUUGUACAUUUGUGGUAUAUAAAUCUUUGAAUGUUUUUGAGUAUUCAUUUAGUAAGAAAGUGGAUUGGAAAUGAUGAAUACCUAUGCAGUGCUCCAUGCCUUCAAUGUUGAGAAUUAAAUCAUGACAUUUCCACAA